rnacentral:rRNA from 1 species
GACGAACGCUGGCGGCGUGCCUAAUACAUGCAAGUUGAGCGCUGAAGGUUGGUACUUGUACCGACUGGAUGAGCAGCGAACGGGUGAGUAACGCGUGGGGAAUCUGCCUUUGAGCGGGGGACAACACUUGGAAACGAAUGCUAAUACCGCAUAAAAACUUUAAACACAAGUUUUAAGUUUGAAAGAUGCAAUUGCAUCACUCAAAGAUGAUCCCGCGUUGUAUUAGCUAGUUGGUGAGGUAAAGGCUCACCAAGGCGAUGAUACAUAGCCGACCUGAGAGGGUGAUCGGCCACAUUGGGACUGAGACACGGCCCAAACUCCUACGGGAGGUAGCAGUAGGGAAUCUUCGGCAAUGGACGAAAGUCUGACCGAGCAACGCCGCGUGAGGGAAGAAGGUUUUCGGAUCGUAAAACUCUGUUGGUAGAGAAGAACGUUAGUGAGAGUGGAAAGCUCAUCAAGUGACGGUAACUACCCAGAAAGGGACGGCUAACUACGUGCCAGCCGCCGCCGUAA